AGCAGCCGCGGUAAUUCCAGCUCCAAUAGCGUAUAUUAAAGUUGUUGCAGUUAAAAAGCUCGUAGUUGAAUUUCAGGCCUGGCUGGACGGUCCGCCCUCUGGGUGAGAACUGUCUGUGGUCGGGUCCUACCUUCUGGCGAAGCGUCAUGGCCUUAACCGGCCGUGGCGGGGAACCAGGACUUUUACUGUGAAAAAAUUAGAGUGUUCAAAGCAGGCAGUCGCUUGAAUACAUUAGCAUGGAAUAAUGGAAUAGGACAGUGGUUCUAUUUGUUGGUUUCUAGGACCGUUGUAAUGAUUAAUAGGGAUAGUUGGGGGCAUUAGUAUUCAAUUGUCAGAGGUGAAAUUCUUGGAUUUAUUGAAGACUAACUACUGCGAAAGCAUUUGCCAAGGAUGUUUUCAUUAAUCAAGAACGAAAGUUAGGGGAUCGAAGACGAUCAGAUACCGUCGUAGUCUUAACCAUAAACUAUGCCGACUAGGAAUCGGGCGAUGUUGACAAAAUGACGCGCUCGGCACCU
rnacentral:rRNA from 1 species